rnacentral:rRNA from 1 species
UAUGACGUUAGCGGCGGACGGGUGAGUAACACGUGGGCAACCUGCCUGUAAGACUGGGAUAACUCCGGGAAACCGGAGCUAAUACCGGAUAACAUUUUUUCUUGCAUAAGAGAAAAUUGAAAGAUGGUUUCGGCUAUCACUUACAGAUGGGCCCGCGGUGCAUUAGCUAGUUGGUGAGGUAACGGCUCACCAAGGCAACGAUGCAUAGCCGACCUGAGAGGGUGAUCGGCCACACUGGGACUGAGACACGGCCCAGACUCCUACGGGAGGCAGCAGUAGGGAAUCUUCCGCAAUGGACGAAAGUCUGACGGAGCAACGCCGCGUGAGUGAUGAAGGCUUUCGGGUCGUAAAACUCUGUUGUUAGGGAAGAACAAGUACAAGAGUAACUGCUUGUACCUUGACGGUACCUAACCAGAAAGCCACGGCUAACUACGUGCCAGCAGCCGCGGUAAUACGUAGGUGGCAAGCGUUAUCCGGAAUUAUUGGGCGUAAAGCGCGCGCAGGCGGUUUCUUAAGUCUGA